rnacentral:rRNA from 1 species
UACGAAGGGGGCUAGCGUUGCUCGGAAUCACUGGGCGUAAAGCGCACGUAGGCGGCUUCUUAAGUCAGGGGUGAAAUCCUGGAGCUCAACUCCAGAACUGCCUUUGAUACUGAGAGCUUGAGUCCGGGAGAGGUGAGUGGAACUGCGAGUGUAGAGGUGAAAUUCGUAGAUAUUCGCAAGAACACCAGUGGCGAAGGCGGCUCACUGGCCCGGUACUGACGCUGAGGUGCGAA